rnacentral:rRNA from 1 species
UACGUAGGGUCCGAGCGUUGUCCGGAAUUAUUGGGCGUAAAGAGCUCGUAGGCGGUCUGUCGCGUCGGCUGUGAAAUCCCGAGGCUCAACCUCGGGUCUGCAGUCGAUACGGGCAAACUUGAGUGUUGCAGGGGAGACUGGAAUUCCUGGUGUAGCGGUGAAAUGCGCAGAUAUCAGGAGGAACACCGGUGGCGAAGGCGGGUCUCUGGGCAACAACUGACGCUGAGGAGCGAAAGCGUGGGGAGCGAACAGG